GUUAUGGUGAGCGUUGAAUGGAGUAAGUACUGCCCAGCAACAAAUGGUUGGAAUGUGGGGCUUUGGUUUGGGGUUUUGUAAGGAGAGAAAGAUUGCACGUGCCAGUCAAGCAAAAAGGCCGGAAUGGAGGCUAGAUCUGGGCACUGUCCUUGACUGCUGUCUCCAUCCAAACAGGAGGAAGGCGGAUGGAAAGAACGGACUGAGGCUUGGGGCCCAUCUCUCCUGGAGACCUAAGAUAAUGAAGUGCUUUGCCUUCCCUCCUGUCUCUCCUUCUGGCCACAGACAACAGCUGUUUACUCCAGCGUUUCUCUGUUCUUCUUGCAGCCUGGCUGAUUAUAGGACAGCAAGCAGCCCAUGA
rnacentral:lncRNA from 1 species